rnacentral:rRNA from 1 species
UACCAGCUCUCCGAGUGGUAGGGAUGAUUAUUGGGCUUAAAGCGUCCGUAGCCGGCUUAGCAAGUUUCCUGUUAAACUCAGCGACCUAAUCGUUGAAUCGCGGGAAAUACUACUAGGCUAGGAGGCGGGAGAGGUCGACGGUACUUCUGGGGUAGGGGUGAAAUCCUAUAAUCCCGGGAGGACCACCAGUGGCGAAGGCUGUCGACUAGAACGCGCUCGACGGUGAGGGACGAAAGCUGGGGUAGCGAACCGGAUUAGAUACCCGGGUAGUCCCAGCUGUAAACGAUGCGGGCUAGGUGUUGGGAUGGCUACGUGCCAUUUCAGUGCCGCAGGGAAGCCAUUAAGCCCGCCGCCUGGGGAGUACGGCCGCAAGGCUGAACUUAAAGGAAUUGGCGGGGGAGCACCACAAGGCGUGAAGCUUGCGGUUC